rnacentral:rRNA from 1 species
CGAUAUCGACGAGUUUGACAUGGCUCAGAAUGAACGUUGGCGGCGUGGAUUAGGCAUGCAAGUCGAGCGGAAAGGCCCGCAAGGGCACUCGAGCGGCGUAAGGGACAGUAAUGUGUAGGUACGUACCCCUGGGUCUAGGAUAGCUGCGGGAAACUGCAAUUAAUACUAGAUGAUGUCUCCGGACCAAAGGUGUGAUUCCACCCAGGGAGCGGCCUACAUCCUAUUAGCUAGUUGGUGAGGUGACGGCUCACCAAGGCGAAGAUGGGUAGCAGGUGUGAGAGCACGACCUGCGUCACUGGGACUGAGACACUGCCCAGACACCUACGGGUGGCUGCAGUCGAGAAUCUUCGGCAAUGGGCGAAAGCCUGACCGAGCGACGCCGCGUGCGGGAUGAAGGCCUUCGGGUUGUAAACCGCUGUCGGAGGGGAUGAAAUGCCGGUGGGUACUCCCAUCGGCUUGACUGAUCCUCGGAGGAAGGGUGGGCUAAGUUCGUG